CGAGGGGGAGGAGGGAGAGC
rnacentral:misc_RNA from 1 species